rnacentral:rRNA from 1 species
AUGAACGCUAGCUACAGGCUUAACACAUGCAAGUCGAGGGGCAGCAUGACCUAGCAAUAGGUUGAUGGCGACCGGCGCACGGGUGAGUAACACGUAUCCAACCUACCGGUUAUUCCGGGAUAGCCUUUCGAAAGAAAGAUUAAUACCGGAUAGUAUAACGAGAAGGCAUCUUUUUGUUAUUAAAGAAUUUCGAUAACCGAUGGGGAUGCGUUCCAUUAGUUUGUUGGCGGGGUAACGGCCCACCAAGACAUCGAUGGAUAGGGGUUCUGAGAGGAAGGUCCCCCACAUUGGAACUGAGACACGGUCCAAACUCCUACGGGAGGCAGCAGUGAGGAAUAUUGGUCAAUGGACGAGAGUCUGAACCAGCCAAGUAGCGUGAAGGAUGACUGCCCUAUGGGUUGUAAACUUCUUUUAUAUGGGAAUAAAGUGAGCCACGUGUGGCUUUUUGUAUGUACCAUACGAAUAAGGAUCGGCUAACUCCGUGCCAGCAGCCGCGGUAAUACGGAGGAUCCGAGCGUUAUCCGGAUUUAUUGGGUUUAAAGGGAGCGUAGGCGGACUAUUAAGUCAGCUGUGAGAGUUUGCGGCUCAACCGUAAAAUUGCAGUUGAUACUGGUCGUCUUGAGUGCAGUAGAGGUAGGCGGAAUUCGUGGUGUAGCGGUGAAAUGCUUAGAUAUCACGAAGAACUCCGAUUGCGAAGGCAGCUUACUGGACUGUAACUGACGCUGAUGCUCGAAAGUGUGGGUAUCAAACAGGAUUAGAUACCCUGGUAGUCCACACAGUAAACGAUGAAUACUCGCUGUUUGCGAUAUACAGCAAGCGGCCAAGCGAAAGCAUUAAGUAUUCCACCUGGGGAGUACGCCGGCAACGGUGAAACUCAAAGGAAUUGACGGGGGCCCGCACAAGCGGAGGAACAUGUGGUUUAAUUCGAUGAUACGCGAGGAACCUUACCCGGGCUUGAAAGUUAGCGACGAUUCUUGAAAGAGGAUUUCCCUUCGGGGCGCGAAACUAGGUGCUGCAUGGUUGUCGUCAGCUCGUGCCGUGAGGUGUCGGCUUAAGUGCCAUAACGAGCGCAACCCUUAUCUUUAGUUACUAACAGGUCAUGCUGAGGGCUCUAGAGAGACUGCCGUCGUAAGAUGUGAGGAAGGUGGGGAUGACGUCAAAUCAGCACGGCCCUUACGUCCGGGGCUACACACGUGUUACAAUGGGGGGUACAGAAGGCAGCUACACAGCGAUGUGAUGCUAAUCCCAAAAGCCUCUCUCAGUUCGGAUUGGAGUCUGCAACCCGACUCCAUGAAGCUGGAUUCGCUAGUAAUCGCGCAUCAGCCACGGCGCGGUGAAUACGUUCCCGGGCCUUGUACACACCGCCCGUCAAGCCAUGAAAGCCGGGGGUACCUGAAGUCCGUAACCGCAAGGAGCGGCCUAGGGUAAAACUGGUAAUUGGGGCU